GCAAUAGUAGUUUAGAUGGUUUAAAUACUCCCGUUUCGGGGAGAGAUCGCAGGUUCGAAUCCUGUCUAUUGCA
rnacentral:tRNA from 1 species